CUCGUAGGCGGUUCGUCGCGUCCGGUGUGAAAGUCCAUCGCUUAACGGUGGAUCCGCGCCGGGUACGGGCGGGCUUGAGUGCGGUAGGGGAGACUGGAAUUCCCGGUGUAACGGUGGAAUGUGUAGAUAUCGGGAAGAACACCAAUGGCGAAGGCAGGUCUCUGGGCCGUCACUGACGCUGAGGAGCGAAAACGUGGGGAGCGAACA
rnacentral:rRNA from 1 species